UUGACCUCGGAUCAGGUAGGAAUACCCGCUGAACUUAAGCAUAUCAAUAAGCGGAGGAAAAGAAACCAACAGGGAUUGCCUCAGUAACGGCGAGUGAAGCGGCAACAGCUCAAAUUUGAAAUCUGGCCCCAGGCCCGAGUUGUAAUUUGCAGAGGAUGCUUUUGGUGCGGUGCCUUCCAAGUUCCCUAGAACGGGACGCCAGAGAGGGUGAGAGCCCCGUACAGUUGGACACCAAGCCUUUGUAAAGCUCCUUCGACGAGUCGAGUAGUUUGGGAAUGCUGCUCAAAAUGGGAGGUAUAUUUCUUCUAAAGCUAAAUACCGGCCAGAGACCGAUAGCGCACAAGUAGAGUGAUCGAAAGAUGAAAAGCACUUUGAAAAGAGGGUUAAACAGCACGUGAAAUUGUUAAAAGGGAAGCGCUUGUGACCAGACUUGCGUCCGGUGAAUCACCCAGCUCUCGCGGCUGGGGCACUUCGCCGGCUCAGGCCAGCAUCAGCUCGCUGUCGGGGACAAAAGCUUCAGGAACGUAGCUCUCUCCGGGGAGUGUUAUAGCCUGUUGCACAAUACCCUUCGGCGGGCUGAGGUACGCGCUCCGCAAGGA
rnacentral:rRNA from 1 species